rnacentral:rRNA from 1 species
AACGAACGCUGGCGGCAGGCCUAACACAUGCAAGUCGAGCGGACCUUUCGGGGUCAGCGGCGGACGGGUGAGUAACGCGUGGGAAUAUGCCCUUCUCUACGGAAUAGUCCUGGGAAACUGGGGGUAAUACCGUAUACGCCCUUUGGGGGAAAGAUUUAUCGGGGAAGGAUUAGCCCGCGUUGGAUUAGGUAGUUGGUGGGGUAAUGGCCUACCAAGCCGACGAUCCAUAGCUGGUUUGAGAGGAUGAUCAGCCACACUGGGACUGAGACACGGCCCAGACUCCUACGGGAGGCAGCAGUGGGGAAUCUUAGACAAUGGGGGCAACCCUGAUCGAGCCAUGCCGCGUGAGUGAUGAAGGCCUUAGGGUUGUAAAGCUCUUUCAGCUGGGAAGAUAAUGACGGUACCAGCAGAAGAAGCCCCGGCUAACUCCGUG